UACGUAGGGUGCAAGCGUUAAUCGGAAUUACUGGGCGUAAAGCGUGCGCAGGCGGUUGGGUAAGACAGAUGUGAAAUCCCCGGGCUUAACCUGGGAACUGCAUUUGUGACUGUCCGACUGGAGUAUGUCAGAGGGGGGUGGAAUUCCAAGUGUAGCAGUGAAAUGCGUAGAUAUUUGGAAGAACACCGAUGGCGAAGGCAGCCCCCUGGGGCAAAACUGACGCUCAUGCACGAAAGCGUGGGGAGCAAACAGG
rnacentral:rRNA from 1 species